rnacentral:rRNA from 1 species
UACGGAGGGUGCAAGCGUUAUCCGGAUUCACUGGGUUUAAAGGGUGCGUAGGCGGGCAGGUAAGUCAGUGGUGAAAUCCCCGGGCUUAACUUGGGAACUGCCGUUGAUACUAUCUGUCUUGAAUAUCGUGGAGGUGAGCGGAAUAUGUCAUGUAGCGGUGAAAUGCUUAGAUAUGACAUAGAACACCCAUUGCGAAGGCAGCUCACUACACGAUAAUUGACGCUGAGGCACGAAAGCAUGGGGAGCGAACAGG